CCCCGCCCCAUCUCUCGCUGGCCGCCCCCACGGCCUUGCGCCGGCCAACCCACCUCCCACCCCUCACACGCCGGCACGACCACACGCCAUCACCGCCCGCAUGGAAGGCGGCCUCACCCCUCCACCUCCCUCGCCUGCCCCCUUUUCUAACCCAGCUUCGGCCGCUGGCCCUCCCCAACCUACGCUGGCUUCCGCUGCCACACCGCCGUCGUUUCUGUGGCUGCACCACCCCGUCCGUUCACAUCCGCCACCCUGGGUCGUUCAAUGACCCAGCGGCAAGCCGUUCGACGUCUCAGCUCGAGAGGUGCCCGUCUCAGCUUUUCCCAACCUCCCCUGGACGUUCAUGCUCGUUCUCUUCAGUAUAUUCACUUCAACAUCUGGUGCUUCUUCAGUUCAUCGUAGUGUGCAUUUUCGCUUCAUCUUGCAGGUACGAUCAUUCUCUGCCCAUCCCGAAAAAAAAAACGAUCAUUCUCUGCCCCUGCUAAUGUAUUUUGUAGUAACUGUAAACAAAAGAGGUAGCACACUGGAACAAAACAGCAGUGAAGAAAGAUACCCUAUGUUAAUUUUGGUCACUCUAUUGUUCGUUCCAUCACUUGGAGAUGUAUGCCUGACCAUUUUUUCUCAAAUUUGGCAUUUGUCAAGUUGUGAGGCUACCCAUUCGGGUGUUCAUUUCAUUGGUUAAAUGUUGAAUUUAGGCUAUGAGAUUGGUAAGACCAUAAUCCAUGUUCCAGUCUUCAAUUGUUAUCAUGUAGUUCAUUACGGUCUUGAGGGGAUUUGUGUCCAGAAUGGGGGUUUUGAUUGCUGCUGGUUGAACCUACUGACAACACAGGUUUUGAUUUCUCCUGGUUAUGUAUCUCAUGGUGGUUCACAGGUAGAAGAUGGGAUAUUCAGAGCUAACUUUGUUGUUUUGGUUUGUGGCACUUAGAUGGUUUUGAAAAUGUUUUGCACAGGUUUUUUCCCCGUGGAUCCAGCACCUGUUCCUCGUGACCUGCAGCAGCAGGAGACACAAGGUCACCUCCCGGCGCUGCUGGUCACGUGAACGCCGUCAAAAAAUGGUGCUCUCAGUUCAGUACGUGAACAAUCAUCAGUUCAUGAAAAAUACAUAGUGCAGGAUUCGGGGGGUGCCUAGUCCAGCUCCUGCAACCAACACAGGUCGUUGCCCCUUUUGCCACAACGGCAGGAGCACGAACACGAGUGUGGUCGUCCUCAACCAGUUCCUCACGCGGCCUCUGCGCAAGCCCUGCUCAUGCAUGCUUACACCAAAAGUACAACUCUUGCUACUCUCCUCGUACUUGCACUUGCUUAUUUUCUAAGCACUAAUCCUAUUGCUUCCUCUUGGGGAAAGGGAUCCCAUGUUGAAGCUAUCUUGGUGCUCACACGCUAUUUAUAUUCAUCACCAUAGUGUACGAAACAUAUGAAAACCAUUCUGGCUUCGGAGAAAAUAUAACCAGUACAUGUGCAAUUGCGCGAGAAGUUCCCUUAUGAAAGUUCCUUGUAAACAAACCACAUGAAAGUUCAUCGAGAGAAACUUUGUAAGUUCAAGAUGGCUAUAGAAAAACUUUGUAGGUUCAGAUGGGUAUAGAAAACUUUGUAAAUUUAUUUUCUCAAUGUACUUAUGAUAUCCAGUUUCUUUUUUCAGUUCAGUACAAUUUCUAAAGUUCAUUCAGUUCAAUUCUCAUUUUUUUCCAGUUUCCUGAGUUCAUGGAAUUUGACAGUCUUUUGUGUGUAUAUGCAAGUUCCAGUUUUCCCGUAGAUGAAAAUUACCCUUGAAUGCAAUGUGCUAAUUGCUCAUGUAUGAUUUUACCCUUAUGAUUGUGUACAACAAUGAAAGGUUUAGAUGGCUGAGAUUGGUCAAGUUCCUUUCUAUUUCAAUUGGUGUCCAAACUGCAUAACAUGUACUUUGCAAUGACGGCCGCACAUGCCACACGCUACCAGAUUCGCCGCCCACAGGGAAGAAGACCUCUACCUAUGGCAAUGACGACCGCACAUGCCACACGCUACCAGAUUCGCCGCCCACAGCUGCAACCCUUCGACCGGCAAGGCUGCCAUUUCCCCCACACCCGACGCCGCCUGGGCACCCCGGACAACGAGACCAUCGCCUCCCCAUGCUCAAUCUAGAGUUCUUGUGUGUUUGCAUGUUGAUUGCUUGUGUUAAAGGAAGCCAGGAGAAGCUACAGGAGAAAAUUGUCUAUGACCGUGGAGCUAUGUAUGUGUAUGUAAUGUCUGCACUACGUGUAUGAACAGGAAAGAAAAUGUUGUAUGUUGAUUGAUGAAAGUUCAAUGUAAAAUAAUAGUUAACUUGGAUAGAUUUUUUAGCUCUGGUGUAGCAGUUCAACAGGUAUUAUAUCAGCAAUGCAUAAUGAAGCGCGGAAAAAGUUCAA